rnacentral:rRNA from 1 species
AACUUUCAGCAAUGGAUGUCUUGGCUCACGCAUCGGUGAAGGACGCAGCAUAUGGCGCUUCUGGGAUUUUCCCCGUAGCACGUCUGUUUCUGUGUCU